AUACAGAGGGUGCAAGCGUUAAUCGGAUUUACUGGGCGUAAAGCGCGCGUAGGUGGCUAAUUAAGUCAAAUGUGAAAUCCCCGAGCUUAACUUGGGAAUUGCAUUCGAUACUGGUUAGCUAGAGUAUGGGAGAGGAUGGUAGAAUUCCAGGUGUAGCGGUGAAAUGCGUAGAGAUCUGGAGGAAUACCGAUGGCGUAGGCAGCCAUCUGGCCUAAUACGGACACUGAGGUGCGAAAGCAUGGGGAGCAAACAGGAUUAGAUACCCUGGUAGUCCAUGCCGUAAACGAUGUCUACUAGCCGUUGGGGCCCUUGAGGCUUUAGUGGCGCAGCUAACGCGAUAAGUAGACCGCCUGGGGAGUACGGUCGCAAGACUAAAACUCAAAUGAAUUGACGGGG
rnacentral:rRNA from 1 species